rnacentral:rRNA from 1 species
ACGUCCAUACCAUGCUUAAUAUACCGGUUCUCGUUAGAUCACCGAAGUCAAGCAUCAUUGGGCGCGGUCAGUACUUGGGUGGGUGACCACCUGGGAACACCGCGUGCCGUU